AUACUUACCUGGACGGGCUCAAUGAGUGAUCGGGAAGACUCAUGGCCUAGAGCAGUGACCUCCAUUGCACUUGGGAGGGGUGCUGCUUUAAGGUCUCCCCAAGAGGGAGAGCCUACGUCAUAAUUUGUGGCAGUGGGGGCUUGCGUUCGCGCAGCCCCUAU
rfam:Gossypium raimondii Chr11_contig_170, whole genome shotgun sequence.